GCUUCUGCGACCAAGCGUGCGGCGCGGCGCGGCGCGGGACUGCUGCGCAGACUAUACGCGGGUCUGCCCAGGUGCACCCGGGGAAAGGCAAGGCACUAGCGGAACGCUCGGAGCGGAGGGGAGCUGGGGCGGGGGAUGAGCGGAGGAAGGGAGCCCAGCACCUAGGGGGCUCUGGGCUUGGAGGGGUCACACGAGCCGAGGGCGGGGCGCGGCGCUUGGGGACUGGAAGGGUGCGCCGCGGGGCAGACGGGACGUGCAGGGGGUCGCGCGGGCAAGGAGGGACGCAGACACUCAGGACCUAAAGGGGAAGCACUGGCUGUGGAGCUGCGAGCCGAGAAAGACGCGCAGGUUAUGAACCUGGGUGCGUUCAUCUCGGGGGACCUGAAGGAGAGGGACUCGUGGAGAGUUGAGGGGUGUUUCGGAGGAGGGGCGCAAGGACUGCUCACAGGACUUGAAGGGCGGCAGGAAGGUGGAGGAUUCGGCCCAGGUGCGGGACGCAGGCGGUGGAAGGGAAAUGAGCACAAGAGGCGCAGGCAGGAAGGAGAGCGCCUGGUGCGAGAGAGGAAGGAGCGCACCCAGUAAGCGGUGUCGGGGGGGUCGUGAAGCUUGGAGGGCCUCGAGGGGAGGGAGGCGCUUGGGUUGAGGUAGGGCGCCAGAUUUCGCAAAUCAAAAUACAGCACACCCAGUUAAACUCGAAUUUCAGAUAAACAAAUCUUUCUAGAGAAAAAUAUGUCCUAAAUAUCGCAUGGGAUAUACUUAUACUAAAAAAUUAUUUGUUGUUUUUCUGAAAUUGAAAUCUAACUCGGAGUCCUGUAUUUUAUCUGAGAGCCCCAGCUGGGGACGGGCGCGGGGCCAAGAGAGCUGCGAGGGAGGAGGGGUUGCAAGCUUCUUUCGGGCGGAGGGGUCACAAGGCGAAUGGAGAAGGUGACAAGGAGCAUGGAGAAACCAAGAAAAGGGCUAACGCUUGGAGAGCAAGGAUGGAAAGACGCUCAAAGCGGAGGCGGAACGGUCUGAGUGAUUCCAAAACUAGUGUGUCCAAGCUGGUUAGAACUCAGGCAGGCGGGUCCAGAAGCCGAGGGGCCUGACAGAUACGCAGGUGAAGUCCAUCUGUGGUCCGCGUGCUGGGCGUGGCCACCGGGCUAGUCCA
rnacentral:lncRNA from 10 species